CUAAGUUAGUUUAUUUUAUAACAAUUUGAACGUAUUACCCAAAUCCAAUCUCCUUCCCUUCCUCCUUCACAGUGUUGGUGCCUUAGCUAUCAAAAGUACUCUUCCCCAGCUCACUCUUGUACCUCUUCCUUCCAAAUGUGACUUUCUUGUUCCUUUUCUUUCUGGUACUGAAUGUUUGUGAUAUUAGCUGUGUAUUCCUUUUCCAUGGGAUGUAUCCUCUUUGUUUUGCUGAUGGAUCCUGUUUAAUAGCUUGAAACUUCUUCACUAGUAACUCAAGUUCAUGGUGCAUAAAUGCCUGUUGCGCGUGACAUGCCAUCUGUAGAUCUUGUCAAGGUUAUUGAAAAGAUGAAGUCAUGCAAUAUCUAUGACAAGCUACAUGUGGAGCGGAUGAAUGAGCGUUACAUUGGUGCUAGGAUGAAGAGGCUGAGAAGGAGGGUAAGUAGUGAGGUUUAUCCAGUUGAUAUACCUGUCUGUCCCAUGUUUUUGAGUUCUAUUAAGUUGAUUAGUGAAUUCUCUUCAAAUUUAGCUAUUAUAGCAUUCAAUUUCAGCUGAUUGCGUCCA